GACGUAGGAGGCGAGCGUUGUCCGGAUUCAUUGGGCGUAAAGCGCGCGCAGGCGGCUUGGUAAGUCGGAUGUGAAAUCCCGAGGCUCAACCUCGGGUCUGCAUCCGAUACUGCCCGGCUAGAGGUAGGUAGGGGAGAUCGGAAUUCCUGGUGUAGCGGUGAAAUGCGCAGAUAUCAGGAGGAACACCGGUGGCGAAGGCGGAUCUCUGGGCCUUGCCUGACGCUCAGGCGCGAAAGCUAGGGGAGCGAACUGG
rnacentral:rRNA from 1 species